AGCGCAGGUGGUUAUAUAAGACAGAUGUGAAAUCCCCGGGCUCAACCUGGGAACUGCAUUUGUGACUGUAUAGCUAGAGUACGGCAGAGGGGGAGUGGAAUUCCGCGUGUAGCAGUGAAAUGCGUAGAUAUGCGGAGGAACACCGAUGGCGAAGGCAAUCCCCUGGGCCUGUACUGACGCUCAUGCACGAAAGCGUGGGGAGCAAACA
rnacentral:rRNA from 1 species